rnacentral:tRNA from 1 species
AAGCGUGUAAUAAGUACUGCUAAUACUUAAAACCAGAGUUUAACCCUUUGGCACUCUUA